rnacentral:rRNA from 1 species
UACGUAGGGUGCAAGCGUUAAUCGGAAUUACUGGGCGUAAAGCGUGCGCAGGCGGUGAUGUAAGACAGAUGUGAAAUCCCCGGGCUCAACCUGGGAACUGCAUUUGUGACUGCAUCGCUGGAGUGCGGCAGAGGGGGAUGGAAUUCCGCGUGUAGCAGUGAAAUGCGUAGAUAUGCGGAGGAACACCGAUGGCGAAGGCAAUCCCCUGGGCCUGCACUGACGCUCAGUGCACGAAAGCGUGGGGGAGCAAACAGG